CUUGCUUGUCGGCCUUUUGGCUAAGAUCAAGUGUAGUAUUUGUUCUUAUCAGUUUAAUAUCUGAUAUGUCCCCUACCUGGGGACCGUAUAUUAAAUUGAUUUUUGGAACAGGGGCUUGCUUCUUCCACUCCACGCAUCGACCCGGUAUUGCAUUACCUCCAGGUACGGUGCACAUUCA
rnacentral:snRNA from 1 species